rnacentral:rRNA from 1 species
UAUGCCUACGGGGGGCAGCAGUGGGGAAUAUUGCACAAUGGGGGGAACCCUGAUGCAGCGACGCCGCGUGCGGGAUGGAGGCCUUCGGGUUGUAAACCGCUUUUGUUCAAGGGCAAGGCACGGUCUUUGGCCGUGUUGAGUGGAUUGUUCGAAUAAGCACCGGCUAACUACGUGCCAGCAGCCGCGGUAAUACGUAGGGUGUAAGCGUUAUCCGGAUUUAUUGGGCGUAAAGGGCUCGUAGGCGGUUCGUCGCGUCCGG